UCAUGAUCUUACCUUCUCAUCAUUGUAUUAUUAUGUUCCAUUUUCGCUCAACAUUCUUGCUUCUAAUACUUGAUCUUUGCAUCAAAAAAUGGGAAGAGUUCCAUCUUGAGAGAAAGAGUUGAAGCCUUCCACAUUGAUAACUGGUGUUGAAAGGAUUCUAUAGUGGGUCCCAGCUAGUGUACUUAUUUGCUCCCACUUUAAUCCCAAAGUAUAUGAAGGGAAGGAGCCACCUUGACAUUGUUGAUGGGAAUGGUUGGUAGAUAUUGUUGAAUUUAUAGAUGCAUAGAAGUGUACCUUAAGGGGUGUUCAUAAUUAUGUUGAAAGUUCAGUGGUCUUUUUGAAACUUUAAAUAAUUAGCUUGUU